UACGGGGGGGGCAAGCGUUGUUCGGAAUUACUGGGCGUAAAGGGCUCGUAGGUGGCCAACUAAGUCAGACGUGAAAUCCCUCGGCUUAACCGGGGAACUGCGUCUGAUACUGGAUGGCUUGAGUUUGGGAGAGGGACGCGGAAUUCCAGGUGUAGCGGUGAAAUGCGUAGAUAUCUGGAGGAACACCGGUGGCGAAGGCGGCGUCCUGGACCAAUACUGACACUGAGUGAGCGAAAGCUAGGGGAGCAAAUGGG
rnacentral:rRNA from 1 species